UGGGGAAUUUUGGACAAUGGGCGAAAGCCUGAUCCAGCAAUGCCGCGUGUGUGAAGAAGGCCUUCGGGUUGUAAAGCACUUUUGUCCGGAAAGAAAUCCUUGGCUCUAAUACAGUCGGGGGAUGACGGUACCGGAAGAAUAAGCACCGGCUAACUACGUGCCAGCAGCCGCGGUAAUACGUAGGGUGCAAGCGUUAAUCGGAAUUACUGGGCGUAAAGCGUGCGCAGGCGGUUUGCUAAGACCGAUGUGAAAUCCCCGGGCUCAACCUGGGAACUGCAUUGGUGACUGGCAGGCUAGAGUAUGGCAGAGGGGGGUAGAAUUCCACGUGUAGCAGUGAAAUGCGUAGAGAUGUGGAGGAAUACCGAUGGCGAAGGCAGCCCCCUGGGCCAAUACUGACGCUCAUGCACGAAAGCGUGGGGGAGCAAAACAGGAUUAGAUACCCUGGUAGUCCACGCCCUAAACGAUGUCAACUAGUUGUUGGGGAUUCAUUUCCUUAGUAACGUAGCUAACGCGUGAAGUUGACCGCCUGGGGAGUACGGUCGCAAGAUUAAAACUUAAAUGAAUUGACGGGGUCAUAGCU
rnacentral:rRNA from 1 species